rnacentral:rRNA from 1 species
AUUGAACGCUGGCGGCAGGCCUAACACAUGCAAGUCGAGCGGAUGACAGGAGCUUGCUCCUGAAUUCAGCGGCGGACGGGUGAGUAAUGCCUAGGAAUCUGCCUGGUAGUGGGGGACAACGUUUCGAAAGGAACGCUAAUACCGCAUNCGUCCUACGGGAGAAAGCAGGGGACCUUCGGGCCUUGCGCUAUCAGAUGAGCCUAGGUCGGAUUAGCUAGUUGGUGAGGUAAUGGCUCACCAAGGCGACGAUCCGUAACUGGUCUGAGAGGAUGAUCAGUCACACUGGAACUGAGACACGGUCCAGACUCCUACGGGAGGCAGCAGUGGGGAAUAUUGGACAAUGGGNGAAAGCCUGAUCCAGCCAUGCCGCGUGUGUGAAGAAGGUCUUCGGAUUGUAAAGCACUUUAAGUUGGGAGGAAGGGCAUUAACCUAAUACGUUAGUGUUNUGACGUUACCGACAGAAUAAGCACCG